GGAAAACAAAGUAUACUAACUGUUAAUUAAAAUUUAACAUAAAUCUUUGGCUGAGUGCAAAAACUUAGAAUAAAAAUAUAAACGAGAAGACCCUGGGAAUUUUAAUAUUUUUAUUGGGAUAAUAUAAAACCAUACUUAGCUAAGCAACAAAUAACAUUAAUAAAAAGAAAUUACCCCAGGGAUAACAGCACAAUAGUCAUUAAGAGACCUAAUCUCAGUGAUUGAUUAUGACCUCGAUGUUGAAUCAUUUGUACAUAUAGUUUGCAGAAGAAUUUUAUUCUCGUCUGUUCGACGAUAGACAUUACGUGAUAGGUUUUUUAAAACCGA
rnacentral:rRNA from 1 species